GCUUGUCUCAAAGAUUAAGCCAUGCAUGUCUAAGUAUAGUACCUUAUACUGCGAAACUGCGAAUGGCUCAUUAAAUCAGUUAUAAUUCAUUUGAUGGUACUUACUACUCGGAUAACCGUAGUAAUUCUAGAGCUAAUACAUGCAUCAGACCCCGACUGUUUGGAAGGGGUGUAUUUAUUAGAUGGAAACCGAUGCGGGGUAACCCGGAUUUUGGUGAUUCAUAAUAACUUUCGGAUCGAUCGCAAGAUCGAUGCAUCAUUCAAGUUUCUGCCCUAUCAGCUUUGGAUGGUAGGGUAUUGGCCUACCAUGGCUUUAACGGGUAACGGAGAAUUAGGGUUCGAUUCCGGAGAGGGAGCCUGAGAAAUGGCUACCACAUCCAAGGAAGGCAGCAGG
rnacentral:rRNA from 1 species